rnacentral:rRNA from 1 species
CACCAGACUCCUACGGGAGGCAGCAGUGGGGAAUAUUGCACAAUGGGGAAACCCUGAUGCAGCGACGCCGCGUGAGCGAUGAAGUAUUUCGGUAUGUAAAGCUCUAUCAGCCGGGAAGAAAAUGACGGUACCUGACUAAGAAGCCCCCGCUAACUACGUGCCAGCAGCCGCGGUAAUACGUAGGGGGCAAGCGUUAUCCGGAUUUACUGGGUGUAAAGGGGGCGCAGACGGCGAUGCAAGCCAGGAGUGAAAGGCCGGGGCCCAACCCCGGGACUGCUCUUGGAACUGCGUGGCUGGAGUGCAGGAGGGGCAGGCGGAAUUCCUGGUGUAGCGGUGAAAUGCGUAGAUAUCAGGAGGAACACCGGUGGCGAAGGCGGCCUGCUGGACGGUGACUGACGCUGAGGCUCGAAAGCGUGGGGAGCAAACAGGAUUAGAUACCCUUGUAAUU